rnacentral:lncRNA from 1 species
GGAUGGAGCCGUCAAUAUGCUUCCCUUUAGCAUGUUCCGGAUGGUUUUCCAUUUCGUAGUAGUUGGUUUGAUUAGCCGCUUAUUUAUCUAGAAGCAUUUCCUUGUAGGAGUAUUGUGGUGUUUCCACCUCCAUUUCUACUUCUUUAUCUGGGGGCUCUGGAGGAGGGGAGGUUUGAUCAAAGAGAGUCCAUGCUGAUGACUUCUUAGGUGAAGGAGAGAGUUUUUUUUACAAGGAAAUGGACUCUUUUGAGACUUACAACAAUAUUAAUAUCGGCUCAUCCAAGAUAUAUUUAGUCCGGAGAAUGACUCAGAAUUAUACUUGAACGAGUAUAUUUAGUUUCAAUAAAUCAUUAUUCGAGUGGAAUUAAUUUUUAAAUAAUUGUCAUAUUGAUUAACACCACUUGUCAUCAUAUUUGAAAAUAAUUAGUUUUACAAUAUUCUAAAAAAAAUUUAGGUAAAAUGAUCAAUACACAUUUUGGAGAACACGUAUUUCAUCUUAAUUUGUAGGGCGUAUCUUUUGAAAAAAUCUUAUGAAAAUUAAAGUAAC